ensembl:lncRNA
GUGGCAUUCACAGGGCAUUCACAGUGGCAUUCACAUGGCAUUCACAGUGGCAUUCACAGUGGCAUUCACAGUGGCAUUCACAGGGCAUUCACAGUGGCAUUCACAUGGCAUUCACAGGGCAUUCACAGUGGCAUUCACAGUGGCAUUCACAGUGGCAUUCACAGGGCAUUCACAGUGGCAUUCACAGGGCAUUCACAGUGGCAUUCACAGUGGCAUUCACAGUGGCAUUCACAGGGGCAUUCACAGUGGCAAUCACAGUGGCAUUCACAGUGGCAUUCACAGUGGCAUUCACAGUGGCAUUCACAGGGGCAUUCACAGUGGCAAUCA